GAGGAAUAUUGGUCAAUGGGCGGAAGCCUGAACCAGCCAAGUAGCGUGCAGGACGACGGCCCUAUGGGUUGUAAACUGCUUUUGUAUGGGGAUAAAGUCAAUCACGUGUGAUUGUUUGCAGGUACCAUACGAAUAAGGACCGGCUAAUUCCGUGCCAGCAGCCGCGGUAAUACGGAAGGUCCGGGCGUUAUCCGGAUUUAUUGGGUUUAAAGGGAGCGUAGGCUGGAGAUUAAGUGUGUUGUGAAAUGUAGACGCUCAACGUCUGACUUGCAGCGCAUACUGGUUUCCUUGAGUACGCACAACGUUGGCGGAAUUCGUCGUGUAGCGGUGAAAUGCUUAGAUAUGACGAAGAACUCCGAUUGCGAAGGCAGCUGACGGGAGCGCAACUGACGCUGAAGCUCGAAGGUGCGGGUAUCGAACAGGAUUAGAUACCCUGGUAGUCCGCACAGUAAACGAUGGAUGCCCGCUGUUGGUACUUGGUAUCAGCGGCUAAGCGAAAGCAUUAAGCAUCCCACCUGGGGAGUACGCCGGCAACGGUG
rnacentral:rRNA from 1 species